UUUUUUUCCCAAAACUCAUUCAAUAAUUACAAUUAUGACCAUAAAACCAAUUUUACUUUACCACAUAAAUAAUCAAAGAACAGGAGAUCUAAGAAUUUCUAUAUAUAACAAUUCACGUAGUUCCUUAGGAACAGUUUGCAUUCCCCGGUUUCGCAUGACCGGCAGCUGCCGAUCUUCAAACCACAUCCCACCGCUAAAAGCCACCUCAAUAGCAAUUCGAUGCUUCAGCAAUUAGGCCUCACUUUGUCCUAAGAUUACAGCUUUGCUUCAGAAAUUAGGGUUCAGGUAUGCUUGGAGAUUAGUAACAUGUAUGCUUCAGCAAUUAGGGUUCUAGUUUCAUUGUUCUUCACUCCGAUCUAAGAUAAAGUAGAAGAGAAGGUUACAAAAUGGCGAAAAAGAUGUAGGAAAUGGUGUCAUGGACUCAUAGUGUGAGCAGUGGGACGAGUAGGCCCAGUCAUUGUUUUGAAUAAUGGCCUAAGAGAAAACAUGAAUUAUUGAUUUGUAUGCACAAGAAGAAAGAGAAAACCAUUUCAAGUAUGCUAAACCAUUGUUGGUCUUUUGUUCAGCAAGUGCUUUUUGACCCGGUUCUUUACAUCUUCAAGCGAUUAUGUGUUGUUUUUAUGAUACUUUGUUAGGAGUUUGCAAUAAAAUGACCGAUUUCAAAACUGGGUAUGUUUAAAGAUUGUUAUCUUGGUGAAGAUUGGAACAUGUUAGAUUGGGUAUGGAAGUUUUGGGGCAUUUUUUUGACAUAGGCGUAAGUGCGUACCACUUCCGUCCUCUUUUGUGGGCUGUUUAAUCGAUUUGCUUUUGCUGAUUUAAAGAUGUUUUUCGGUAUGUCUUAGAUAGGGAUUCUUUUUUAAUUUGAUAUGGGUUUGUCGAGUUGGAA